rnacentral:tRNA from 1 species
GGGUCGUUAGCUCAGUUNUUGGUAGAGCAGUUGACUUUUAAUCAAUUGGUCGCAGGUUCGAAUCCUGCACGACCCACCA